UGGAUCCGUAAUCCGGGUUGCGGACAGUGUCUGGUGGGUAGUUUGACUGGGGCGGUCUCCUCCUAAAGAGUAACGGAGGAGCACGAAGGUUGGCUAAUCCUGGUCGGACAUCAGGAGGUUAGUGCAAUGGCAUAAGCCAGCUUGACUGCGAGCGUGACGGCGCGAGCAGGUGCGAAAGCAGGUCAUAGUGAUCCGGUGGUUCUGAAUGGAAGGGCCAUCGCUCAACGGAUAAAAGGUACUCCGGGGAUAACAGGCUGAUACCGCCCAAGAGUUCAUAUCGACGGCGGUGUUUGGCACCUCGAUGUCGGCUCAUCACAUCCUGGGGCUGAAGUAGGUCCCAAGGGUAUGGCUGUUCGCCAUUUAAAGUGGUACGCGAGCUGGGUUUAGAACGUCGUGAGACAGUUCGGUCCCUAUCUGCCGUGGGCGCUGGAGAACUGAGGGGGGCUGCUCCUAGUACGAGAGGACCGGAGUGGACGCAUCACUGGUGUUCGGGUUGUCAUGCCAAUGGCACUGCCCGGUAGCUAAAUGCGGAAGAGAUAAGUGCUGAAAGCAUCUAAGCACGAAACUUGCCCCGAGAUGAGUUCUCCCUGAGACUUAGAGUCUCCUGAAGGAACGUUGAAGACGACGACGUUGAUAGGCCGGGUGUGUAAGCGCAGCGAUGCGUUGAGCUAACCGGUACUAAUGAACCGUGAGGCUUAACCUUACAACGCCGAAG
rnacentral:rRNA from 1 species